rnacentral:misc_RNA from 1 species
GAUGAAGAACGCAGCGAAAUGCGAUACUUGGUGUGAAUUGCAGAAUCCCGUGAACCAUCGAGUCUUUGAACGCAAGUUGCGCCCGAAGCCAUUAGGCCGAGGGCACGCCUGCCUGGGCGUCACACGUCGUUGCCCCCCCAUCUACUCCUUCGGGAUUGCGGGGGGCGGAUGAUGGCCUCCCGUGCGCCUCGCCGCGCGGUUGGCAUAAAUGCCAAGUCCUCGGCGACGCACGCCACGACAAUCGGUGGUUGCUAAACCUCGGUUGCCCGUCGUGUGCGGUCGUCGCGCAUCGAGGGCUCGAAAAAAUUGCCGGGUUCCGGCUCGGCUUUCAACGCGACCCCAGGUCAGGCGGGGUUACCCGCUGAAUUUAAGCAUAUCAAUAAGCGGAGGA